rnacentral:rRNA from 1 species
AGCGAACGCUGGCGGCAGGCCUAAAACAUGCAAGUCGAACGCCGUAGCAAUACGGAGUGGCAGACGGGUGAGUAACACGUGGGAACGUGCCCUUUGGUUCGGAACAACACAGGGAAACUUGUGCUAAUACCGGAUAAGCCCUUACGGGGAAAGAUUUAUCGCCAAAGGAUCGGCCCGCGUCUGAUUAGCUAGUUGGUGAGGUAACGGCUCACCAAGGCUACGAUCAGUAGCUGGUCUGAGAGGAUGAUCAGCCACACUGGGACUGAGACACGGCCCAGACUCCUACGGGAGGCAGCAGUUAGGAAUCUUGGACAAUGGGCGCAAGCCUGAUCCAGCCAUGCCGCGUGAGUGAUGAAGGCCUUAGGGUUGUAAAGCUCUUUCAGCGGGGAAGAUAAUGACGGUACCCGCAGAAGAAGCCCCGCUAAC